GGGAGCUUGCUCCUGGAUUCAGCGGCGGACGGGUGAGUAAUGCCUAGGAAUCUGCCUGGUAGUGGGGGAUAACGUCCGGAAACGGGCGCUAAUACCGCAUACGUCCUGAGGGAGAAAGUGGGGGAUCUUCGGACCUCACGCUAUCAGAUGAGCCUAGGUCGGAUUAGCUAGUUGGUGGGGUAAAGGCCUACCAAGGCGACGAUCCGUAACUGGUCUGAGAGGAUGAUCAGUCACACUGGAACUGAGACACGGUCCAGACUCCUACGGGAGGCAGCAGUGGGGAAUAUUGGACAAUGGGCGAAAGCCUGAUCCAGCCAUGCCGCGUGUGUGAAGAAGGUCUUCGGAUUGUAAAGCACUUUAAGUUGGGAGGAAGGGCAGUAAGUUAAUACCUUGCUGUUUUGACGUUACCAACAGAAUAAGCACCGGCUAACUUCGUGCCAGCAGCCGCGGUAAUACGAAGGGUGCAAGCGUUAAUCGGAAUUACUGGGCGUAAAGCGCGCGUAGGUGGUUCAGCAAGUUGGAUGUGUAAUCCCCGGGCUCAACCUG
rnacentral:rRNA from 1 species